rnacentral:rRNA from 1 species
AAUCAACGCUGGCGGCGUGCCUCAGACAUGCAAGUCGAACGCGAAAUUUCCCUUCGGGGAGAAAGUAGAGUGGCGCACGGGUGAGUAACACGUAGGUAAUUUGCCUUUGGGUGGGGAAUAACUCAGGGAAACUUGAGCUAAUACCGCAUAAUGCAGCGGCUCGACAUCGAGACAGUUGUUAAAGCGGGGGAUCGCAAGACCUCGCGCCUAAAGAGAAGCCUGCGGCAGAUUAGCUAGUUGGUAGGGUAAUGGCCUACCAAGGCAACGAUCUGUAACCGGCCUGAGAGGGCGGUCGGUCACACUGACACUGACAUACGGGUCAGACUCCUACGGGAGGCAGCAGUCGGGAAUUUUGGGCAAUGGGCGAAAGCCUGACCCAGCAACGCCGCGUGAAGGAUGAAAUCCCUCGGGAUGUAAACUUCGCAAAGAACGGGAAGAAUAAGUAGAAGAUAAUACCUUCUAUGAUGACGGUA